AGCAGUUGUGAAACUGAGACAUCAACUGUGCCUGGAGAUCAGUGAAAUGAAGGACUGGAGACACUAAAGAUGGAAAGUUUUUGAACUAUGUGCUGGCAGGAAUGUGGCUGACAACACAGUGACCUGGAUCUGCCUCCAGGGGUGCCGGCAGAGCAGGGCUCUCACGCAGGGUUAGGAGAUGCACGGAAUUCAAGGCCUCCCAGUGACAGUUAGCAGAACUGGAACAGGCUGCUCAUCGAGGAAAAAGCCCUGAUGGAGUACAGGAACUCAAGUCCCAGUUCUGGUUCCUUCACCAUUCAGCUGUGCCAUCAUGGGCACAUCACUCAGCCUCACUGGAAUUCAGUUUCCUCAGUAGUAAAAUGUGGUACGGUGAAGAUGAAGAAACUGAGGAUUUAAGAAAUGAAGCCACUUCCUCAAAGCCACUCAGUUGAUAGCAAAGUGGAGAUGCAAAGCCAUGUUUGUUCAGCUCCAAAGACAAGUUCCAACAACCACAUUCUAACAUCUUCCUGAUCCCUGCCAAAGCAUAGAAUGGUCUCCUGUCCCUACUCAGACUCCAAGGACUUACCUGGUUUGAUAGGCUGACCAGUGCCAGGGACCUCCUGUCAGGCUCCAGUUGGUCACGUUCUACCUGGAGCCAGGAGCCAGUUUCCCAUCACAUCACUCAUGCCCCACCCGUGACCCCACAUGGGUCAGGGAUCUCCUGGAGAGGGGGCAGGCCCCUGCCUUCUGUGACCUCAAUCUUCCUGGGACUCUUAGUCUUGGUUGGUCAUGGGGCAGGGGUGUCAGAGUUUUCCCAAUCUAGUUUCUAGAGUUCACAGAUUCCAGAGGGCUGUUUCCUGGGAUCAAAGACACUUUGUUUUUUGUGUCCUGACUGUGGCUGUCAUGGUUAGAAUGCAUUCAUUAUGAAUCAAGCUGACAUUCUUUCAGGAAACAACUGGUCAUUAGAACAGAAUCUUCUCUCAUUACCAGCAUUUGGAAAGUUGAGUUUCAUUUUGUCGGUCAUUCAAUGUGAAUCUUUCCAAUAAUGUGGUAUGUCCAGCAUUCCAGCAUGAACCACAUAUUUCCCCAAGCUGACCAUACAGCUUUCUUCUGGAACUUUCACAGGAGACACACUGAGAUGUAGCCUGCAGAGCUGAAGGCGACAGAUGAACCUCAGCCCCUCUGCAUUCAUUUCGCAACUAUGAGGGGACAAGCACUUUGCCCUCAGUUGUCAUCAGCCCACACUAUUCCUGUCUGGCACAGCCUCCCUUCCCAUUGGCCAAACUCUCACCAUUCCUUUUCAAGCUCCGCCUAAGUGUCUCACCCCUACACCCUUUCCCUUAAUCAGGCUGAAGUUGGAAUGUGUUCACCCAAUUUUAUUAGAACUAAAUAUAUUCAGCUUAGCCUAAGCUUUAGCAGAUUUUAAUAGUUAUUAAUGGAAUAUUCAUCUAUUUCCCUAUACACACUGUAAUCAACACUCCCAUUCUCAAAUGCACUACUUAAAGUGUCUGAAGAUCAGACACUUUAAGUAAUUCAAACUCAUGACAAAGUUUUCUGAAGAUAUAAGCAGAUCCUGUUAGAUACAGAUGCACAUACAAUUCUUAUGAACACUUUCAUGUUCAUUGUAGCAUCAUCAAAAUAUCUGACCAGAGCCUGUCACUGCACCAUGUAGACAUUCUUACAAACAGCUCUUAUCUAAUCCUCAUAAGCCAUCACCUGUCACCCAUAAGGGACAAUUAAACCA